rnacentral:rRNA from 1 species
UACAGAGGUCUCAAGCGUUUGUUCGGAUUCAUUGGGCGUAAAGGGUGCGUAGGUGGCGCUGUAAGUCGGGUGUGAAAUUUCGGAGCUUAACUCUGAAACUGCAUUCGAUACUGCGGUGCUUGAGGACUGGAGAGGAGACUGGAAUUCAUGGUGUAGCAGUGAAAUGCGUAGAGAUCAGGAGGAACACCGGUGGCGAAGGCGGGAUCCUGGGCCAGUACUGACGCUGAGGAGCGAAAGCGUGGGGAGCAAACAGG